AGCUUCUGUGCAUCCCCUGCGCCCUCCCUUCUUGCCGCUCCGGUGUUCUCUCAUGGAUCCACUUGAGGUCCCCGAAUGGAUCGAUGAGAACAAUGCUUGCAGAGUAGUGAUUGAUGUCUUAUCUUUCUCAACUAUUGAGGAUGAUCGAUCUGUGUACCGGAAGGGUAGAUCUUUGGAAUGGUGGGUAGAUUUAGACGAGUACUCCAUCAUAGACAUGGAAAAAGAUGUGCAGCAACACUUUAGUUGGGCAAUUAAUCAGGAGGCAAAAUUUUGAUUUGCGGAUCAGAAUGGGCAAACAAGUCGUCUUGCUAGUGAUCAACAACUUCUAGCCUUGUUGCGGGCUUCAAAAGUUGUCAAGUUCUUCAUGACUGUUGAUUGAUGUGUCCAUACCAGUGUGAAUGAAACGGAGGGUCAAAGCCAAGUGAUAAAGGGUGAUGUGCAGGUUGAAGGCACAAGUAAGGGAAAUGAGUUGUUUGACUCAAAUCAAGGUGUGCUUGUAGAAUACCAAGGCAAAGAAUGGGCAGAGGACCCAGAACUCGGGGUUACAGCAGCAGGUCCUAAUAGAGUACAGGAGGAGGAGGACCACUAUAUGGAGCUUGGUUUUGACCCUGAGGGAGAUGAACCAAUUGGAGCAGAUGAGGAAUGGAGAUAUUUCAAGAGGCAUGAAAAGGUACCAGAAGGAAGAAGUAAUGAGAAAGUGCAGCAGGAAGGAAGGAGUAGAGUGGAGAAUAAAGGGUCAGCAUAUGAAGGUACAGACUCUGAUGUUGUUCCAAGUGAUGAAGCCACUAUGAUUGGUGAUGCCCCAUAUUUUGCACACACUACAUAUGACAGAGACAACCCUGACAUAAAA